rnacentral:rRNA from 1 species
AAGAGCCCGGCGGCCGGCGCGCAGGGGCGGGGGAGCCAAAGCUCUUCCCCGGAUGCCCCAGGGCCGGACGGGAGGAAAGCGGGAGACCGCGAGUACGAAGGCGCCGGGUACACCCUCCAGGAAAAGCGGCUAGCGUCAGAGCGCGGGCGGCCCGUACCAAGAACGGACACACGUGGCCUGGGCGAGAAGCCCGAGGCUAGCGAGACAACUGUUGCUAAGGAACUCUGCAAGACUGCUUCGCAAGCUAGCGAGAAGAAGCGCCCGGGGGCGAACAGCCCCGCGGGCCGCAGCGAAGAGGCAGGGGUGACUGUUUACCAAAAACACAGCUCUGUGCGAAGCCGCAAGGCGACGUAUACGGGGUGAUGCCUGCCCGGUGCUGGAAGGUUAAGGGGAGGGGUCAGGCCGCAAGGCCGAAGCCCCGAGCCGAAGCCCCAGUGAACGGCGGCCGUAACUAUAACGGUCCUAAGGUAGCGAAAUUCCUUGUCGGGCAAGUUCCGACGCGCAUGAAUGGUAUAACAAUCCCUGCACUGUCUCGGCAGCAGACUCGGCGAAAUCGUAAUACCGGUGAAGAUGCCGGUUACCCGCGACUAGACGGAAAGACCCCAUAGAGCUUCACUGCAGGUCGGCGCUGGGCUGGCCAGCGGCUCGCACAGGAUAGGAGGAAGGCUUCGAUCCGGGACCCCUGGGCCCCGGGGAGCCGUCGUUGGGAUACCUCCCCUGCCGCUAGCCAUCCCUAACCGGGACCCUGGACGGGCCCCGGGACAGCGCCCGCCGGACAGUUUGACUGGGGCGGUCGCCUCCCAAAGAGUAACGGAGGCGUUCGAAGGUGCCCUCGGCACGGUAGGAAACCGUGCCAUCGAGUGCAAACGCAUAAGGGCGCCUGACUGCAAGGCCGGCAGGCCGAGCAGACGCGAAAGCGGGAGUUAGUGACCCGGCGGUUCCAGCGUGGAAUGGCCGUCGCUUAACGGACAAAAGCUACCUUGGGGAUAACAGGCUGAUCCGGUCCAAGAGUUCACUUCGACGACCGGGUUUGGCACCUCGAUGUCGGCUCAUCGCAUCCUGGAGGGGCAACACCUUCCAAGGGUUUGGCUGUUCGCCAAUCAAAGCGGUACGCGAGCUGGGUUCAAAACGUCGUGAG